AGUCGAGCGCACCUUCGGGUGAGCGGCGGACGGGUUAGUAACGCGUGGGAACAUACCCUUUGGUACGGAAUAGCCUCUGGAAACGGAGAGUAAUACCGUAUGAGCCCUUCGGGGGAAAGAUUUAUCGCCAAAGGAUUGGCCCGCGUUAGAUUAGGUAGUUGGUGGGGUAAUGGCCUACCAAGCCUACGAUCUAUAGCUGGUUUUAGAGGAUGAUCAGCAACACUGGGACUGAGACACGGCCCAGACUCCUACGGGAGGCAGCAGUGGGGAAUCUUGGACAAUGGGGGCAACCCUGAUCCAGCCAUGCCGCGUGAGUGAUGAAGGCCUUAGGGUCGUAAAGCUCUUUCGCCUGUGAAGAUAAUGACGGUAGCAGGUAAAGAAACCCCGGCUAACUCCGUGCCAGCAGCCGCGGUAAUACGGAGGGGGUUAGCGUUGUUCGGAAUUACUGGGCGUAAAGCGCACGUAGGCGGACUGGAAAGUUGGGGGUGAAAUCCCAGGGCUCAACCCUGGAACUGCCUCCAAAACUAUCAGUCUAGAGUUCGAGAGAGGUGAGUGGAAUUCCGAGUGUAGAGGUGAAAUUCGUAGAUAUUCGGAGGAACACCAGUGGCGAAGGCGGCUCACUGGCUCGAUACUGACGCUGAGGUGCGAAAGUGUGGGGAGCAAACAGGAUUAGAUACCCUGGUAGUCCACACC
rnacentral:rRNA from 1 species